UACGGAGGGGGCUAGCGUUGUUCGGAAUUACUGGGCGUAAAGCGCACGUAGGCGGCUUUGUAAGUUAGAGGUGAAAGCCCAGGGCUCAACCCUGGAAUUGCCUUUAAGACUGCAUCGCUUGAAUCAUGGAGAGGUGAGUGGAAUUCACGGUGUAGCAGUGAAAUGCGUAGAUAUCGUGAGGAAGACCAGUGGCGAAGGCGGGUCUCUGGACAGUUCCUGACGCUGAGGCGCGAAGGCCAGGGGAGCAAACAGG
rnacentral:rRNA from 1 species